UUUAACAACGCGAAUUUUACGGAAUUUACACCGGCAGUGUUAUUUUAAAGCUGUGUGGUGUCAAAACAACACUCACACUCUUUAUUUAACACUACACCUGAGAUUUCAACACUGGCAUUUUUACUGUGCAUCUUAGAGGCAGAUUGAAGCUGUUUAUGUCUGUUCAGGUUAUUUCUGAGAUAAUCCCCUGACAGCACCCCUCACGUGGACCUGAGGCUACAUUUUCCUGUGACUCUUGUUGCGCCAACGCCUGAGCAAGUCUCCACUGACGGCUGAUGAGUGCCAGCACCAUGUCUGAAAUAUUAAUGUAUCUCAUGCAGCAGUUGACCGUGAUCGGUUAAGACACACAGCGGCUCCCGGGACACGUCUGGGGGCCCCAAAGACGCAGAUGGACAGAGGAGAUGUCUGUGCAGGAGAUGAGAUGCAUUUGUGCAGAUUGGGCAGAAUAACUACAGAGUCUGGACCGUCAGCGGUUGAAAAGCGAUUACUUCGUGGAGGCCUGGACUCUGUUGAAGUUUAAGACUUCACCCAAUUGCCAGCGUUUGCCCAUGACACACGUAAUACGCCAGUUCUACGUGAUGAAGCUUUCCGGAAAUUGCCUGCGUUGUAAACGACCGUCCUCUGUUGCAUUCUCCUGUCAGCUGAAUGGCUCGGUUGAAAUUGUACCAUAGAAAUCCAUUACAAUGGGAGAAAUCCCAGACGGAGAACCGAAGAGACAUUGAAAUAGAGCGGGAUUGCGUAGGAAAGCAAUGGCCUGACGAGGUCAAUGCAAGAAAAAAAAAAUCUCAUUAA